GACGUAGGGGGCCGCGUUGCUCGGAAUUACUGGGCGUAAAGGGUCCGUAGGCGGUGCGGUAAGUCGGGAGUGAAAUCUCUGGGCUUAACUCAGAGGCUGCUUCCGAAACUACCGAGCUAGAGUGCGAGAGAGGCAAGUGGAAUUGCGGGUGUAGCGGUGAAAUGCGUAGAUAUCCGCAGGAACAUCCGAGGCGAAAGCGGCUUGCUGGAUCGCAACUGACGCUGAGGGACGAAAGCUAGGGGAGCAAACAGG
rnacentral:rRNA from 1 species